UUGGAGGGCAAGUCUGGUGCCAGCAGCCGCGGUAAUUCCAGCUCCAAUAGCGUAUAUUAAAGUUGUUGCAGUUAAAAAGCUCGUAGUUGAAUUUCGGGAUCAAUAUAUUGGUCAUGCUUAGGUAUGUACUGGUAUUAUUGAUUUCUCCCUUCUGAAGAACCAUGAUGUCAUUUAUUUGAUGUCGUGGGGAAUCAGGACUGUUACUUUGAAAAAAUUAGAGUGUUUAAAGCAGGC
rnacentral:rRNA from 1 species